rnacentral:lncRNA from 1 species
CCUGACCCCUGAGAUUUUUAGAAAACUUUAGUUUGAUCAACAAAAAUAGAAUCUAAGUCUUCUAAACAUCUUUUAACCAUAAAAUCUCACCACAAAUUAUUUAUAAUCAUACCUGAGAUCCCAAAAAUCUGACAAAAGUCUUUGAUCGCCAAACUCCAAUUCUUACUUCAAACUUCGUCUUCUAACUCUUCGAGACUCCGUCCAAAACUUCACGAAAGUCACCAACUUAAUAAAAUCCUUAACAAUCUCCCCCUUUGGCGAUUUCGUGAUAAAAUACAAAAAUAUUACAAUACUCAUCCAAAAAAUAAAAUAAGAAAAUUAUUGCAAUCACCAAACAACAAUCUUCUGCAUGAUCGAUCCAAUAAAAACAAAAAUACAUUUUUCACAUCCUAAUACAAACUCUAUGACUUAAGACACGAUAUGGAGUCUCGAAGUCUU